rnacentral:rRNA from 1 species
AUUGAACGCUGGCGGCAUGCUUUACACAUGCAAGUCGAACGGCAGCGCGGGCUUCGGCCUGGCGGCGAGUGGCGAACGGGUGAGUAAUACAUCGGAACGUGCCCAGUAGUGGGGGAUAGCUCGGCGAAAGCCGGAUUAAUACCGCAUACGACCUGAGGGUGAAAGCGGGGGAUCUUCGGACCUCGCGCUCUUGGAGCGGCCGAUGGCAGAUUAGCUAGUUGGUGGGGUAAAGGCCUACCAAGGCGACGAUCUGUAGCUGGUCUGAGAGGACGACCAGCCACACGGGGACUGAGACACGGCCCAGACUCCUACGGGAGGCAGCAGUGGGGAAUGUUGGACAAAGGGCGAAAGCCUGAUCCAGCAAUGCCGCGUGUGUGAUGAAGGCCUUCGGGUUGUAAAGCACUUUUGGCGGGAACGAAAAGGACUGUGCCAAUACCACGGUUCGAUGACGGUACCCGCAGAAUAAGCACCGGCUAACUACGUG